rnacentral:tRNA from 2 species
GGCUCCGUAGCUCAGGGGAUAGAGCGUUGGUUUCCUAAACCAUGCGUCGCAGGUUCGAAUCCUGCCGGGGCCA